rnacentral:rRNA from 1 species
UACGGAGGGUGCAAGCGUUAUCCGGAUUCACUGGGUUUAAAGGGUGCGUAGGCGGGCAGGUAAGUCCGUGGUGAAAUCUCUGAGCUUAACUCAGAAACUGCCAUGGAUACUAUUUGUCUUGAAUAUUGUGGAGGUAAGCGGAAUAUGUCAUGUAGCGGUGAAAUGCUUAGAUAUGACAUAGAACACCCAUUGCGAAGGCAGCUUACUACGGAUUGAUUGACACUGAGGCACGAAAGCGUGGGGAUCAAACAGG